UACGAAGGGGGCUAGCGUUGUUCGGAAUCACUGGGCGUAAAGCGCACGUAGGCGGAUGAUUAAGUCAGGGGUGAAAUCCCGAGGCUCAACCUCGGAACUGCCUUUGAUACUGGUUAUCUUGAGUCCGGGAGAGGUGAGUGGAACUGCGAGUGUAGAGGUGAAAUUCGUAGAUAUUCGCAAGAACACCAGUGGCGAAGGCGGCUCACUGGCCCGGAACUGACGCUGAGGUGCGAAAGCGUGGGGAGCAAACAGG
rnacentral:rRNA from 1 species